rnacentral:rRNA from 1 species
GAUGAACGCUGGCGGCGUGCCUAAUACAUGCAAGUCGAGCGAACAGAUGAGGAGCUUGCUCCUCUGACGUUAGCGGCGGACGGGUGAGUAACACGUGGAUAACCUACCUAUAAGACUGGGAUAACUUCGGGAAACCGGAGCUAAUACCGGAUAAUAUAAUGAACCGCAUGGUUCAAUAGUGAAAGACGGUUUUGCUGUCACUUAUAGAUGGAUCCGCGCCGCAUUAGCUAGUUGGUAAGGUAACGGCUUACCAAGGCAACGAUGCGUAGCCGACCUGAGAGGGUGAUCGGCCACACUGGAACUGAGACACGGUCCAGACUCCUACGGGAGGCAGCAGUAGGGAAUCUUCCGCAAUGGGCGAAAGCCUGACGGAGCAACGCCGCGUGAGUGAUGAAGGUCUUCGGAUCGUAAAACUCUGUUAUUAGGGAAGAACAAAUGUGUAAGUAACUAUGCACGUCUUGACGGUACCUAAUCAGAAAGCCACGGCUAACUACGU